GAAGAAUCUUGAAUCCUUACUCCUUGCUUGUCUGUUGGGAGUAUAGUAUUAUUGAAUUGUGGUGUCACCUCCUUCUACAAAAUGAAGUUGACUAGAUGAGAUCAGAAGUACCAUGUUGAUUUGACUGGGAUUUAUUUUUUUUAAAAAAAUCCUAUUUCAUAAACAAGCUACUAAAAGCUAUCUUGGGCAGCAAUGAGUGUGUGGUAUGUAACAUGGGUAGAUUUUAAAUGUAAUUGUAGCGCAUUAGUUAUCAGCUAAAGUAUUAAGUUGUAUCUGCACCUCACAGCUAUGAGUUUGAUUCCCUGGCAGAGCAUUCUAAGUACCUUACAAAACUACAAAUAUCAGGAAUCUGAAAUAAAAGAGGCAUGACUGUAGUAUCAAAGUGGUAUCAACGCAUUAUAAUUGUGUGGUGCGAGCAUACUUUAAGAAUGCUUCUGAAUGUGGGAUGGUUCAGAAGCAUUCUCUCCUGACAUUUCACCCACAUCUAUGGCAGGCAUCUUCAGAGGUUGUGAGGUAUGGAGAAACUAAGCAAGAAAGGUUUAUAAAUAUCUAUGGAAAGUCCAGUGUGAGAGAAGAACUCUUAAUUUACAAACCCAUGGAAGGGAGGGAGGAUGGGUCCUGGUUGCUUAUAAAAACAAUGGUGGUAGAAGUGUGUAGUGCUGCAAGGUCCCAAAGAAGUGAUUCACUCCUCCAUCCUUGACUAUUGUCUACCUCAUUUCUAUGCAUGCUACCGUUUAAUUUUAAUUCUAUGUGGGCACACUAAGAUUGACUGACCAGUCCUGGAUGUAUCGUCGAAGGCUUUCACGGCCGGAAUCACUGGAGUGUUGUGUGGUUUCCAAGCUGGAAAAGCUACGGAUCAGGAAAGCACACCUACUGUGUUCUCUAACAUUUCUUCUAUGCUGUAGAGACACAGGAACCAUCCCAUCAUUUCUCACAGCCAAAAGGACUUUCAAAGCACCACAGACUUGCUGUAUCUAUAGCCCCUUAGAACAUAUGCUCGUAUAUGAGAGAAUCCACAUUACCUGCUAAGAACUUGUAAGCAUAGAUGAAAAGCUGUUUUUCCCCAUAUUGUGGCAGUCUCUUGCCAUGACAUGGGUCUUACUACCUCUUCUUCUCCCAUCCAUCUUUCCUCAAUUGCCCUGGACAACAUCACUGCAGGUGAUGGCUGACUUGGAGGACCAAUGUCAUGGUCAGGGACCACUUGAACAUAGAAGAUGGAAAGGGACAUAAGUGCCAUAGAGAAAUGUAAGUACUGUAGGUGAUGUAAUAUUAUCUUCUAUAUAAACAACUUUUAGUGGCACUUGUUAUACAAGCUGCAAACGAAGAGAAUUAUGGUGUCGUAUUUAACAUCAAUAUUAACUGGGUUUGGCUAGAAACAGUAGUAGAUCACAGCCCCGUCCCUAUGGAAUCUCUUACGUUUAGUAGUAGUAUAUAUUGCAAUGAAUACUUUACUCAAGGUAUCCACUAUUUGUAUUCUCAUCCACUACAUUAGUGUAGUUCUUUAACACAAAGGAAUACAUUUAGCAACACUUGCAAAGAUAUUAUGGAAAAACUAUUCCUAUUUAUGGUUUAAGUGCCAAUAUUGUCAAAUAGAAAUAAAAACCAAACAAAGUCUUAUAGUUGACUUGAUAACAAUCAAAAUUGCUGUCUCAGUAUUGAAUCGAGUCAAAGAAACAGUUCUUAACAUGCAGAUGUACAAUAAGGCAACCCUUCACAUAAGCCUUAACAUAAAGCUGUUGUAGUCUCUAGUUUGAUAUCAAUCUUGUCAAAUCGAGUAAAUGAAAAAUAUGCAGAAUUUACUGCCCUCUUGAUAGUCUUCUCAAGUGUUGCUGGAGCGUGGAAAAAGAUAGUUCAGUAAUUAAUAUAACAUCUGUAUAAGUUCUUCUUAGUGUAGCUCCUGGAUACCAGUCAUCUAACAAUAUCUUUAGGGUUAGAUGAAUAGGUCGUUGUUUUUAGGUGUUGAUACCAAUCCGUUGUAGGGUAUCUGGGAUGGCCAAGUGAUCUGUGGUGCCGGGGAUGGUUAUGACUGGUUUCCCGGGUAUAGGCCAGUUUCGUUGCUUCUUCAGGUAAACUAGUCUUCCCACUGUUUGUUUGGGUUAGAGAGUGGUGAGGCUCUGCCUUCUUAAUUCUUCUAUACAUAUAAAAAUAAAAAGAGAAACUAUCUAGUAUACACUUCAAAGGUAAAGUAAAAGUAAUAUAUAUACCAUACUUGAAAUAGACAUGUUAAAAAUAUUACAUCACCUACAGUACUUACAUACUAUAUACCAUACUUUCCUUUUUUUACGUUUCUCUGUAGAUUAUAGACACCUGCGUUUUUGAGGACAUAAGUGCCAUGCCUGGGCCACCCAAACCUGGGAAACACAGGACAGAAUUUGGACUAUUCUCCUUCUUUGGUUAACAUGGUGCUGUGGAUCAGCUCCAUGCAGUGUUUGCACAUCAUGGUGCUGAUCCAGUCAUGUUCCAUAUUAAGUGGUCAGUGCAGAUGUGUCCAUAGCUACAUAGAACAUUUGUGCAUAUGCAGGUGAGAAUGUUCAUAGGUAUACCUUUGCAGAUCAGGGAUCAAAGAUGAUACGUUUGUCCUGUUUUUUGUAUAUUUAGAAAUCUUUGUAUUGUGGUUUCAGUCUAGACAAGGAGUCUGGGAAAUUAAGGUGUGAAUCCUUGCUCAGCCAUGGAAACUCACUGGGCGGACUUAGGAAGUCUUGCUCUCCCAGCUCAGUAGAAGCCAAAGAAGAAGAAACAUAGCUGAAAACACCCUGAGAUAGGUUUGUCUUAGAGUCACCAUAAGUCAGAAAUAGCUUGAAGGCACACAGCAGUAGCAAUGACAUAUUGGGGAAGCUGUGUGUGUUAGGAAUAAAAGGGAAAUUUGAAUUUAGCAAACUAUUUCACCUUUUUUCAAUGUGUGAUCUGUGACACUGUUAGUUAAAAAAUGCAUAAAUCCUUUGGUUGCCCAACACUGUGUAAAGAGAGAAUAUGACAAAUAUUCCCUCCUUUUUAUUUCCAAAUUCUAUGAGAAAAAUGUGCAGAAAUACUCUGUAGUCAAUGAGAAUUCAAUGCAUUAGGAAACAUAUUUUAAUAAGUCUUUCUGAUUCAUCCCCAAGCCCUGAAACAUCUCCCAAAACAAUAUGAGCCAAGGAGAGCAAGAAAAUAUAUAAUAUAUUGUAUAUACAUAUAAUAGUGAUAAUAAUAUUGUAAUGGAAUACAAUAUUAUAUUACUAAUAAUACAAUAUAUUAAUUAUAUAUUAUAUAUUAAAUGUAAUAUUACUAAUAAUAUUACCAUAUAAUGAUAUAGUACAAUAUAGUAAUUUAAUGCUUAUAUUGUGCUAUGCUAAUAAUAUAUUGUAUGCUCAUUUGAUUUGUAAGCCGCUCUGAGUCCCCUUCGGGGUGAGAAGAGUGGGAUAUAAAUGUAGUAAAUAAAUAAAAAUAAAUAUAUAAAUAAAAUGUCUGUGGAAUUUGGAGAUCUAGAGUUCUUUCCAUUCCUAGUUUGUGUGAUCAUUCAAUAUGCUUGAAUCAAUGUGUAUAAAAUAGGUGGCCAAUAUUUUUAUGUUAAUUGAAAAAGAAAGUGUUUGUAUGUGUCCCUUCUUAGUUGAUAUCUGUUCAACUAACAGCCCAAUAUCUAUAAUGAACUCCCUUCAGAUGUGCCCUAAAGACAUAUUUGUUUAUCUUGGCCUAAUACUGAGUUCCAGACAUAUUGGUUGCUUCUGUAUAUAAGGACAAUAGAGUCUCACUUAUCCAACAUAAACGGGCCGGCAGAAUGUUGGAUAAGCAAAUAUGUUGGAUAAUAAGGAGGCAUUAAGGAAAAGCCUAUUAAACAUCAAAUUAGGUUAUGAUUUUACAAAACAUCAUGUUAUGCAACAAAUUUGACAGAAAAAGUAGUUCAAUACACAGUAAUGCUAUGUAGUAAUUACUGUAUUUAUGAAUUUAGCACCAAAAUAUCACAAUGUAUUGAAAACAUUGACUACAAAAAUGCGUUGGAUAAUCCAGAACGUUGGAUAAGUGAGAUUCUACUGUAGCUUGUUUUGAUUAUUAAUUUUGAUUUGUUGUUUUUAGCAUUGGUUUUGUCAUUGCAUUAUUGUAUUUCAAUUGUUUAAAACGUGUUCACAUGGCACCUUGGGAAGCUUUAGCCAUGAAAGAUGAUAAGUAAAUGAAAUAGCAUGUAGUAUGUGCAGUGUACAAAUGCAGAAGAGUUGCACUGUUUUUGCUUGUUUUAUUGGAAAGUACCAUGUACACUUGAUUGUGCCGUAUAAAUCAAUGAAUGAUAAUGAUAACGAUAAUAAUAAUGAUAACAAUAAUGUUGCAAUUAAUGAACACAUUGUUGCAUGACUUUUUGUGGUUUUUGGGGUUUUUACAAGUUUCAAAUUGCGAGAUAUUGUUUGUCAUCCUCAGAAAAAACGGCAUGGCUACCUGCUCCUAGUAUGAAAGGAAAAUACUAGUGGCAUUUACUUGGAAUGAAAGAAGGCCGCAAUUUCUCUGAUCUGUGUCUCAGCUGCAGAUUUCUGUCGUCUUCCUGUUGUGACUGGUGUUUAUAGACCACCGUUUCACAAUACUGGCCAUCACAGCUCAUAUACAAUUCCCUAGAAAUUAACUAAGUGUGAAAGAAAGACUCUUUAGCUGGAUUCCAUUGUCAUUCAAUACCAUUUCGUCCCAUAUGUUUGGUUUAAUUAUCUAGGGCUGGCUGUAGAUAUUAGAAAAUUUUCCCACUUCCUUUCUGUAUUGGAUUUUAGAGGAGUUUUAUAAUCGAGCAAAUAGCAGUUUAGAUGAAUUUUGCCUUUCUGCCUGGGAAUUCUUCAGCAAAUGGGGCCCUUUCUUCUUUUGCAUGAUAACCAUUAUGAAAUCGCUUCCCUGCUGCUUGACUAAUGUAGCCAUCCCACAUUUUAUAUUUACUGUGAACUCGAUUUGUUUUUAAGAAAUUAACAAAACAAAUACUUAAGUGCUGCACUACAUGUUCCAUAAGCUUUUGAAAUUAAUUUCGGGAGGAAUGGGCGGAUGGGGUGGGAAGAAUAAGACGCUAGAGUCUUUACGAAAUUGCUUCAGAAAAUUGUUUUAAUGGUGAUAGUGAAUCCUUACCAAAAUGCUUACUUUAUAUUAAUACAGAUAUGGUCUAACAUCUCACUGUUCAUAUUAUAGCCAUGCUUCACUCCAGGCCAGAGCUAGAGGGAGCACUCAAUAUUUUUGUGCUUUUGCUUUUGUUUGUUUGCUUAUUUCUUUGCUUGUUUAAUUCCUUUGCUUUCAACAGAUUCACAGGGUAGCUUACUAGAACAUUGAAAAUUGUCAUCUUAAAAAUUAAGAAAAUAUUAAGUGGAGGUUGUUGAUGUUUAUUUGUUCAGUCUCUUCUGACCCUUCAUGAUCUCAUGGACCAUCCCACAUCAGAGCUCCCUGUCGGCCGUGGACACCCCAGUUCCUUCAAGGUCAAGCCAGUCACUUCAAGGAUACCAUCCAUCUUGCCCUUGGUCAGUCCCUCUUCCUUUUUCCUUCAAUUUUCCCCAGCAUCAUUGUCUUCUCUAAGGGAAGGGUAGAUUUGCCCCCCCAUGGGUUUUAUGAUGUCAGGAGCAUGCCAUUGGUUCCCUCAAUGUAGAGAGAGGUGAAAUAUUCCACAUGACUGGUGGAGCUCAAUUGAGGGUUAGAUUUUGGCUACUUCUUCCCUUUGCAUUAUAGGAAGAAAUG
ensembl:lncRNA